rnacentral:rRNA from 1 species
CGGGACGGGUGAGUAAUGUCUGGGAAACUGCCUGAUGGAGGGGGAUAACUACUGGAAACGGUAGCUAAUACCGCAUAACGUCGCAAGACCAAAGAAGGGGGACCUUAGGGCCUCUUGCCAUCGGAUGUGCCCAGAUGGGAUUAGCUAGUAGGUGGGGUAACGGCUCACCUAGGCGACGAUCCCUAGCUGGUCUGAGAGGAUGACCAGCCACACUGGAACUGAGACACGGUCCAG